ensembl:lncRNA
GUUUGUAGAAAAGGGAAACACAGGCAAGGCUGGCAGCCUAGGUAAUGCUGGUCCCAGUGCAGUCUGGUGGAUGGAUGUCUGGGGCAGGCUCUGUGAGGCCCUGGAAGAGCCAUCAUAGCUGGAGGGGACAACUCAGUUUCCGGGAUGAGAGGAGAGCUCCUUCCAGAGGGAAAGCAUGGUUUCUGUCAUGGAGUCACUGCUCCUGCACCCAUCACGGGGCAUCUGCGAGGCCCUGCUUUCCUGGAACCCGAGGAGACCUUGACACUCCGCGCAUCGAGGCGCCUCUGCUUUGGGGCUACCCGUCAGGCUGGCUGAGGGCAUUGUUCCCCCGCGUUAUUGAUGCCUGAUGCGAAGGAGUUGGAGAGGAAGCUCUCCAGUGCUGAAAUGAACGUGGGCAUGCAGACACCUCUAGGAGGCGCUACUUCAUGCUCCUUGGGUACACAGCCAACAGGACUGCUAGAGCACAGCACAAGCCCUUCACCCCCAGGACCCUGUCCCUGUGAAUGCCUCUCCAAGUUUCCUCUUUCCUGACUCUUGCUAUGAGCACAGGGCAUGGGAUCUGGCCUGGAACAGCCCAUGGGUUUGUAGGUUGCAUCAUUGGGUCUGAGGGGCAGAAGAGGAAAAGCUAUAGCUCCCUGUCCAUGGCAGUCACCUGCAGAGACGCUCUGCAGGGAUGCGGAAGGACAGCACAUCUGCCUUGGGUCCUGCAUCCUCUCCCCCGGAGGCAACCCUGCCCCACACUGACCUCUGAUGGCCCAGGAGCCCACGAGGACAACAUCAAAGAGAGGACGCACAUGCUCAAGAUUUCCUUGCUGUUUUUGGAUGACAAGUGUACUACUGGUUCCCCCAGGGAAACUGAGGCAGGAAGAGCAUCACACCAGGCUCUGUGUUGUACUCCAGGCAGGAAGGAGCUGAGCAGCUCUGGCUUGAGGAGCUGGUGCGAAGCAGGACGUGUAGAAGACUGGGUGUGCUCAGGAGUUGGGGGACCCAGGCAGCACCCGGAAAGACACCCAGCCCCCCACCUGUGCACUGGCAUGGUGGGAUCAGCUUCCAUGGCGUCACCCGCAGUGACUUCAGUGCCAACCUUCAGGCCCAAAUGCCUUCCUGUGUGCACCGAAGCACAAUUUACAAAUCUAUCCUCAAGACUCAAGGAGAAAGAAACUUCAUUAUUUUUAAGAAUGAGGAACUAAAGGCAAUUAAAAACGGGGGUGGGAGAGCUCGUCAAAUGUCAUUAGACUUCAUCAGAAGCAUUUCUCACCCUGACAAAAGAGAAAUAACAAAGAAUGUGCUCUCGUUAUUUUUCCAGAGGGAUGGUCUAUGUGCCGGUAGAGAAGGAAGUCAUAAAAGAUACCAGGGAAAUGCAGUAACUGGAUAUUUCAGGGCAUGGGAGUCGUAUUCUUUGGGGGCAGGGAAAACCGCAGCGGAACACUUUAGACGCCCUCCUUAAUUUUGAAAGAAAAGGAAAAUUAUUCGCGAUUUCAAUGGCAGCCCCAUCAUGGGCCUCCACCACUGCCUAGGCCAGGAAAUUAGUUGCCAUGGCAACUUCAGGUUGUAUCAUUAAGAAUUUUUAAAAUGUUGAGAGUCAGGAGGCAGGGCUUAAACACAGAAGGGAGAGGGAGAAGGAGGGAAGUGGAGUGGAGAAGGAAAGAAGUAAUCCAGGGCAAGUGGAGACUGCGGCCAAAAGAAGAAAUGUUUGCCCCACAAGUGUGUUUUCAUCUCUCCCCAGGUAACGGAAGGGAAGGGGAUCCCACCCUCACUCGGUUCUGCUUUGUUUCCUGUCCGAAUGUGAGCAGCUUUUCUCUUGUCCAUUAAAGAAGAAAACUUAGAAAGAUGAAGUAGACCCCAAGGAGCCGCCUUCAUUUGUUUUGUUUUGUCUUGUUUGGUCAAAGCAAGUCACAGAACCAGAUCCAUGGGAUCAAGAAACGGACUUCCUCCCUCGAGAUGGGCUGCAAAGUCAGACUCCAAGGAUAUGAGUUGGGCAACAACUGUGGCCAUUUUUGUAAACAAGACCCCGCCCCUAGAGCAGCUCCUCAACCAUUCUGCAAGAGCCCCCUGAGCUGGGGAUGGGGAGAUGGUAUCAUCGUGACACCUUCAAAGCCAAGGAACUGUAGGUGGUGACAGGACUCACCCAAAGGUGCACAGCCACUCGGAGAGCAGGAACCUUCCCAAAUGCCAUGAAUCAAAAGCAAAGGCAACAGGGUGCCCGGGGAGGGUGGACAGAGGAUAUCUUUCCAGGCGGGCAGUGAAGGAAAUUCUGGAAGGGACCCUCCCCAGAGCUGUAACUGCUGCCUGUGGCCAGGGUGGGCUUUCCGGCUGGCUCAGUGGUUUGGGCAGCAUCAGAAGGCAUUUCUCGUUUCACCAAUUUGUUUUUUCGACCACUGUCUUCCACCUUACAAACGUGUUCAUAGCUAACACUCUGGCUGCUGCUCCCCGGGGAACCAAGGACACCCUUAGAAUCAGUCCCUGCAGGUGCACUGGACAAUCCAACCAGGCUGGGUCAGGCUGCCAGAUACACCUCUCAUCUCUCCGGAUGGUGACUGACCACUGGUGGUCACCCCACCCCCGGGCAGUGGCUGGUGUCCCUUGAAGGCCACACCUGGCUGCCUGGCCCAGGUAGAUGAGAGUGUGGCACUCAGGCUUCUUCUCACUUUUUAUCAACUGACCUUGGCAGGACGUCUGACGCCAUACGAGGGGUCAGUCCGGGGUGGCAUGGUGGCCAACAGCCCCUGGAGGUGUGGUGACAACUACUGAGUUGCAGCACAACUACUGAGGGCGGAAGGGGGAGCUACCAGCACCUAGAGGUGGUGGAACCUCGUUCUCCCCAAGGAGGACUCAGCAGGACUCAGUGCAGCACCCAUCAGCUGACCCAGGACCAGGAAGCCCAGCUGGCAUCUGGAAAUGGUCUGGGCUCAUUCUGGGUCACCACAGUGAGGCGCAAACAACUGGCGUUUCGGAGGUGAGGCUUUGGCCAUGACGCAGUCCCACCUGAGGGAAAAUAGUCCGCGGAGAAGCUGGGAGAGCGGCUUCUCUUAUCUUCCCUCACCCGGGUCUCGGAGGAAAGGGGAUGAAGACUAGCGGGCUUGGACAGGACAGUGGUGCUUUCUAUUGCACGGCUGCAUGGUUUGCAAAGUUGCACAUGGAUCUUGUCAUUUAAUCUCCGAAAUAACCCAGCGCAACGGCACCGAGCUGAUUCUCCCCGCUCUGCAGACAAGGAAACUGAGCCUCGGGAACAUUCACGAUGCUCAGCCCGUCAGUUUGGAUCAUGCAGGAUGAGGGGAGGGGCAGGCAUGGAGGGGUGCGCUCCUCCAGGCAGCAAUGCUGGACUGGGCCGGGAAGAGGAGACAGGGAGGGAAAGGGGCCCGGUGGGGAGGGCCAGGGCACAGCGCUGCUCUAAGCCAAGGCCGCUGUCGGAGGAGCCUUGGGUGGGCAGAAGGGUCCCUCAUUAGACCCUCAAAUGCAGGGGCCGCAGGCUGUCCAGGGUCCCUGGGUGGUCACUCCAUGUCUACAUGUCACAUACCGAGGACGCGGGCAGGGUGAAGGCUCCAGGCUUGGGGGCCGUCUGCGUCACAUCAGAGGAGGAAGAAGGGACCCCUGGAGCGGGAGGGGUGAAGGCGGCAGCCCAGGCGGUCCCUGUGAGGGCAGCAUGGGAGCCCCAAGGGACUCAAAACCUACUGAAGGGCCCCUGCUCUGCUGGGCCCAUCUAGGAGCCUCCACCCAAGCUGGGCACACUGGUGACAGGAGCAGGUUGCUGGCCUGCGCACCAACCGUCGGCGUGGUGGAAACGUCCCACUAGCCACAGGUCUACCAAAUGCAGGUGCUGGUGGUCUUAUGUAAGGAAACAAAAGAAGGGCUUGGGGGCUGAGAGUGUCUGCUUCCAGGGAGAUGUUUCCUGGUGACUGUUGCUUCAAAGAGCUUCCCGCUGACUGCCGCGUCACUCGGGCACCCUGGCGUUGGAGAUGCUAUAACGGGGUCUCGGUGUCACAGGGACAGGAAGCCAGUGAUGCAGAACCUGAGUCACCCUGGAGCCAGAGAAGCAAUUGGGGGAAGCUUAAGGGACCUUCGUCAUCACCGAGCGUGUGACCUUCCCUGUGUGCGUUUUACAGGCAAGGAAACUGAGGCACAGAGAGGGUGAGGUACCUCCUCUAGGAAGGGGGUCUCAACCCUGCACUACUGACCUCUGGGACCACAGUAAGUCUUUGGGGGCGAAGGACAAGCACAGGGUCUGUGCUUCAUAGAACGAGUCCAGCACCCCAGGCCCUAGCCACAAGAUGCCAGCAAAGCCCCCCUUCUAGCCAGGCACCCCCUGUGCCCGAGCCACCCCCAGUGGAGAACACGGCUCCACUUCAAGCAACCGGUUCCUAGUGGAGCUGGACCUCCAGCCAGGCCACCCAUCCCUGAGCCAUGGCCUCUGGUCUCCCACGACAGCAAUCCAGAGAGGACAGGGCCAACCGCUCCCUCAGACACUGGGAAUCGGAGAAGAAAAAGGAGACAUAGCAGAGAGGCAGGUGGAGAGCUGAUAUUUGAUCAGUGCAUUCUGGAAAGAACUGCAAUUUUAUUUUAGUAGAUUGAUUCUUUUCCAUCACAUCUACAAUACUCAAAGCGACCAGAAAACAGAAAAUGAUGAGUCCAUCAUCUUCCUCCAAUGCAUCCCCAAAUCUCGCUCUGCGUGGAUUGGGCAGACAUACUUUUGCAGAGUAUUUCAGGGCUCAACUAGUCUUGCCUGCUGGGCUCUCCUGUGCUGGGAUUAACUGGCAAUGCCUUGGGUUUGCACUUCACAGAUAUCUAUCUCCCCAAGUAUGGCCUAGGAAGGCAGUUACCCCUUCCUUAGGCAGGGCCAAAGAAGCUCAGAGUGCGUGCAAGGCCAGGCAGCAGCAGAGCUCAGGUCACCAGUGGAAGUGGCUCCCCUCCAAGGGCCUGAGAGCCACAGAGACACUGCCCCAACCUAUCAUGGCUCGGGCUGGGCGGCCCCUCUUGCUUUUUCUCAUGAAGAUCCCCCUCCAGGGAGAUGCAGGGACAAAGGUACAGGCAGGGGCUGCACUGUUACCUGCUUUUGAAAUGUUCCUGCAGCUGGGGCAGUAGGAGGGGUCCUCACAAGCUCAAGAAGUAUCCUAGAAAAAGCACUGGACCUCUCUGAAGUCAAAGUUUUCGACUCAGAUUCCUGGUUGUAGGGUUUCAAGCAAGUCAUUUUCAAGUCUGCCCUGUAUGGUUGUGUGGGUAGCUGACUGCACAAAGCACAGAUUAGAGGCUGAAGUCUGGUCUGUAGCUUGCUCACUAAGCCAUGCUUGGAACAGGGCUGUGUCACCCCAGAGAAAAGGUCACAUUUUUCUAAUUCUCAUAACAAUACUAGAUGAGCCAGCAGCAGUUCUGAUAUCUCUUUUCUUUUCCUGCGGGGGGGGACACAUUUGGUACAUUUGGACCCCCAUUUUUUUAUGUGACCUCUGUGAACUAGGAGGACCUCCCGGAACCUGUCCUCAGGAAUUCUAGAUCUCUUUCCUUCUCAUCUGUUAUUAUUAUCUUUUCCCUUUUCUCUCUUAAAAAACAAAAGGGUUUGGGGAUGGAGCGGUGUGGAAUGAACUCAUCCCAGACAGGUCAGUUUCCCAGCUGGCCAGGAGGAAGGCUGGGCCCAAACUGGUUCGGAACUCAGAAAAGCCAGGUGUGGAGGUGAUGUCCGUAAUCCCAGCACUUGGGGGGCUGAGGCAGGAGGAUCACAUACAAUCACUGCAAUUUUGCAGCGCAAUUACUCUGACAUAAUGAGACCCUGCCUCAAAAAACAAAGGAAAAAAAGAGAGAAGUGCGCUAGACUAAUGAGGACAGCUCCAUGGCUGCUCUGGAGAUGCCGGGAGCAAGGACCACGCAACGGUGCUCAGAGACCAUGGCUUUCUCAGUGCAGGAGUCUGACCAGAGAGGCGGAUUGGCUGAGUUUGGGUCACGCCCAAUUCACACUUCCGGUAGGGGACUUUGAUUGACAGCUCCUUCCGCAAUGCAUACAAAGGCCACCAAAGUGUCAGUCAGAGGAGGUACAGACACGGGAAAUGGGAAGCAUCCAGCAUUUGCUCCGUUCCUUUCUUAUUUUAUUUUUUAUUGGAACAUGUAUGUGAUACCUAAUGAACCUGUUGAUCUUGGGAACUGAUACAUAGUGCAUCUUAAUCUUUUUCAAUUCCCCUUCCCCUCUCCUCCUUCCAUCCCUACAUCCCCUCUCCAUCUGCAAACGGUCUCCCUCCCUGUUUCCUAUCAUGUCUUAUAUUCCUCUUUAAAUUGUUUAAACUUUAGGUUUCUCAUAUAAGAGAAACCAUGUGAUAGUUAUCCUUCCUGUGUCUGAUUCCUGUGUCGGCAUUAUGGUCUUGAGAUGCAUCCAUUUUCCUGCAAAUGACUCAAAUUUAUCCCUCUUUAUGGCCAAGUAGUACUCCACUGUGUAUAUAUACACCGCAUUUUCUCUGUCCGUUGAUGGACAGAAUUUCUAAGAUGUAACUGUUUACUCUAUCCUUUAAAAGCCACAUCCGGACCAGAUUUCCAACUAACAGGAUCCCAUGUCGUUCUUUCCUCUGACUUCCAUUCCCAUUCAGGCCCUGGUUUUGGUUCAUCUCUGAAGGCCUCUGUGCCACCUAACAUUCUGACCACACACAGCCCACACGACAGUGGACCGUCCCUGCCCUCACUGGGAGCCACAGAGAAACUGUGUCUGCAGAAGUAAAGGAGACUUAGAGUCCCACAGACCCAAGCAGAGUCCAAGGUCAAAGGGUUGACAACAGAGAGACACCAGGAAUCUUGGCAACACCCCGGGCCAGACAGCUCUUCAUCUGGAAGGACUCCGGAGGGACCCUCGCUCAUCUCUUGGCCCAGCUCCCCUGCUGCAGGUUUGGAUCCCUAACUCCCACCUCCUCCUGGGCGGGGGGCAGCUCCCUGUUGGGAGUGAGACAUGUGGCCACCACUCAUCUGCACUGUGAUCGAACCCAGGUUCCUCAGGACUUCACCUCCUAGAGCCGUGGCUUCAUUAAUACAACCACUCCAAAAACACAAGGAGCCCUCGCUAAAAGGAUUCACCCCACCAGCUGGGGGGAACAGCAAGGCCCCUGAGGCAGGGAGGGAGAGGACAACAGAGAGUGUGGGGGAGCCUCUAUGAAAACGGGGCAAGUGUUGGCCAGGAAUCCUGGGAGGUUCCUCCACAGAAUGCCAGACACACAGACAAGAAGAGACCAUGAAUGCCCAGGGCAGCAGCUGCGGGGGAGAAGCGGGUUCCUGGGAGGUCACCCCAGAGCAGAAGCUGCAGAAUGGAACUGCAGCCCUGUGGCUCGCACCGCCUGUGGACGACCCAGUGGGCAGAUGCAAAACAUCACAAGGGCUGUCACCCACGUGGGGAGCCAUCUCCGGGCCCCAGGGACGGCCACCAAUCAGCAGGAUUCCGUGGGGACUUAAGUUCCCAAAUGGUUUUAUGUGACAGAGAGGGUUGGGGUGGGGGAGAAACCCCUCAAAGUCCCCCACAUCCUCACUGAAAAAACCAGAUCCAUGUGCUGUAACUUGUUCUAGGGUCGGGAAAGGAGCGGUUGUUGGUAUCCUGUAUGUAAUCAAUGAACUAUUUCUCAUCUCCCUCAAAAUCAGUCUCAGCUAUCUCCUGAUGUCCAUGUGUCUUUGUGUCUGUGUGUUUUUAUGAGGAGAACAGGGGACAAGGAUUCUCGUCUUCCUAACUUGGAACAAAGAUGCAAACAACUGUGGCCGUGUCAAUAUGCACGCUCGAUGACGUGCUUUACCCUCUUAUCAUCCUCUAAAUCGCAGGACAAAGAAUUUCUUCCAGAUGAAUUUUAGCUCUGCUACCAAGCCACACAACUUCUCCAGAUCUCCUUUUCCUGCUCUGUAAAACGAACGGCUUAUAGUCCACACCCAACUGCCUCAGAAUCCUAAUGCAAAAAAACUCUUUGAUAUCAACGAGGAAAAAAAAUCCCACAUGGACCACAGUAUUUCGUCACUUCUCCCAGUGGCACAACACACACAAAUCAAAUCAAAAUAUAAAUCAUUGCACCCUGUUACGGGUCUCAUACAUAGUUUCUUUUAAUAAAAUAUGCAAAUAUGUUGCAGUAAAUUGAUUUCUCAGUAUCAUUCUCUUAUCUCCAUAUUUAUUAUUCAUGAUUCUUCCACUCCUUACUGAAAGCAUAGAGAUGGAAGGCAAGUUUAGAAUGUAGCCUUUGCCUGCUUUCGCUUAUUUGCACGAUCUUCUACCCCUAGGAAUAAAAU